rnacentral:lncRNA from 1 species
AAAAAAUUUACCUUCAGUUCAAGCAUGUGUGAUCAAAUAUUUGAUUUAUUAUUGAGAAAUAAUUAUAUUAGAAUUCUUGACCACCAUGUUGAGCCAUCUGUCCAGGUACGAAUGUAUUAUAAGUUGCAUGAUUCGUCCAAGCAUAAUUUUGAGGAUUGCAAGAUGUUCCGUCAAAUAGUUAAAUCAGCAAUUGAUAAAGGACGAUUAAAAUUUGUUGAGACACCAACAGAUGACGAGUCUAUUCGAAUUGGUCCUGAUGGCAAAAGGUUUUUGCAUCGGCUGCUUCAAGCCGAUCCAUUUAAAGAGAAGGUAAAAACUACAGGUGAUGGGAUUGAGCUUUCAAGUAAUCAAGUUGUUGAAGAGCAUAAUGAACAUAAUCUUGAGGGCGAGAAUUCCAUCGAAACUACAAUGAAGACGCCAAAGACUGGGGGGCACCAAGCAAAUCCAAUGAUCGACGAAAGCAAAUCAAAAGAAAACAAAGGCCGAAAUAAGCGCAAGUAUAAGAGAUCAAAAAUCGCCUUUGCUGAACUAUUGGAUAAAUACCGAAAGAAGAGUGAUGAGAAGAAUGCUUGUCGGCCCAAUCCUGGAAAGAAACAAAGAUCACCCCCAAGGCGCAAAUAUGAGGAUUGGUAUUGGCAAAGUGAGUAUUUUAAUGCAACAUAUUCAUAUCCUUAUUUUAAGCCACCAAUGCCAAUGUCGUGGAUGCCUCCCUAUGCUCAUAUAGAUCCAUAUCCAUCAUGGGACAUGUAUGAUACAAGGGCACAUUCUCCAUCUUAUUUUAGAUCAUCUCACCAAUAUUAUGCAGCUCCGAGAAGAUCAACAUUUGAACAAUCACAUGUUAAAGACCGCUUCAGUCAUAAGAAAUUGGUCCAGAGCUCAAGGAAGAAGAAAGAGGUGGUCAAGCAAGUUUACCGUGUUAAAAGAGAUGGUCGUAAGAGUGCAACUUCAGAUUUGAUCUCAAAUGAAAAAGAGCCAAUUAAUGUGUUGACAUUGGCUACUAAAGACAAUGAGACAAAGCAACCAAUUAUUGAGAGUCGAAGUGCCAAAUCUGAAGAAAAGAAGUUGAGAGUGCACAAGGCCAAAAAGGAAUUGUCAUUGGUCAAAACAGAAUCACGGCCGAGAUGCCCACUCAUCUUAUCCUAUUGGCAAAAGAGGGAACUACAAAAACUUAGUGCACAUGAACUUGAAGAAAGGAACAUGGCAUGGGUUCCCAAAGGAAGUGCUCAAAAUAAGAAUUAUGUGAAAGCAUCCAUUACACGACGUGCGGCAAAGAUGAAGAAGGAAAAGAGUGAAAACUAUGAAGGACCAAGCCGAAGGUUUCAACAUCUUCGUUCCACACAUUAUCCAUAUUCUUCAACUAUGUCAUUGAUGCCUAUGCCAUGGAAUUCGUCAUCAGGUAUGAUUGGUUACCCUCAAUGGACUUAUUAUAAUCCAUGGAUGCAAUAUAAUUUCUUACAUCAUGAAAGGGUAUUGCCAAAUAACUAUACAUUUGAUUAGCUACAAGUUUGUUGCUGAUCCAAAGGGCCGAAAUACUUGAUUUGUCAUUUCAUUUGUUUAUUUCGGCUAUAUGUGCUUUGAAUGAAGUUUACAUAGUAAUGGACGAUAUAUACUUACCGUCCUAAGAAGAUGCAGAAUGGACGACGGAGUGUUGACAUCGUCCUUAGAACCAACAUGGUACAAGUUAUUUUUUGGCACGCUAGCUAUGCCGAAAAACAGGGGGGCAUGUGUUGACGCUCAAAAUUGGCAUAGUCAUAAAAUUAGCAUAGGUUAUAUCAAGAAAAAUUCAAACUUAUGAUUGGAAGUCACCUUGGAAUGUCUCUCUUCGAGAAGAUCAAGAUGGAUAUCAAGAUAGUCUAAAACGGAGCUCGGACUCAAAAGUUAUGACAAGUUCAGAGAUGCUCAUGUUGACACCAGAGUAAAGAAAGGCAUAAAACUCAAUCAAGAUGGCCGCUGGUGGAAUCUGUUUCAACAUGAAAGUUGUGCGUCUCGUCGAAACGAUUGAUUUUGAUAUAAAAAUCGUCUUAAUCCGAGUUCGUAUGCAACCUGUGGAGGCAAAACAAGGUCAGAAACAAAAGCUGCAGAGUCAUUUCGGACCGACCGAGUUGAUUUGAUCGGUGAGACCGAGUUUGUCCGAAAAUUUACUAGAGAGUUGGCAAUGUUGACUCGGUAGGACCGAAGCAAACUAAUCGGUAAGACCGAGAUUGAUCCAGAAAGUUACAGAAAGUUGACCACGUUCACUCGGUGGGACCGAAGCAAACCAAUCGGUGAGAUCGAGAUUGAUCCGGAAAUUGCCAAAGAUUCCUAUCUGAGUUAGGUUAGGGUUUUUGAUGUUUUGGACGGAAUUUUUAGUCCUUUUCUUGUACAGGAAGUCCAGCCGCCUCUUAUAUAUGUUGGGGGUGACGGCCGAUUGAAACAACACACAAUCGAACAAAUCUAUCUACAUCUUUUACCUUUACUUUUCCUUCUCCCUUGUUCUUCUUCUUCCUCGUUCUUCGUUCGUUCUUCUUCAUUGUAGGGCGGCGAACCUCGAGGCCCUAGGGGCGAUCAGGUCGACCUAGGGCAGCCCAUAGCCGCUACGCGCCCUGACGGGGUCCCUCCCGGGUGUGUGGGGUUUCAGGUCCUCAAAAGCGCUCGCCGGAUUGUCUUGCGUACCGCGCUUCCGGCAGGUCUCCUUUGACGUGAGCUGCGGUGCAUCACCCCCGGUGUCGAGGGUACACGGUGACGUGUUCGUGUGCGAAUAGUACAGCCGAGCGCGCCGCACUAUCACGAUGGGUAUGACCUAGCUCUGCCGCCGAACAGUACCCCAGAGGCCGCGCCCGCAUCAGCUCCGACCCUUAGCUCGGAGCCAACUGAGCCAAUCGAGGACGGGUGGUUAGACACCGCCUUAGGGGCUGCAGUCUCAACGGCGAUCGAGCCAAACACCAGCAUAAUCCUCUGCGCAGCCCGUGACUCCAAGGUGUCGGACUCUUUUUCUGACUCCGAACCGCCCGCGCCCCUGCCAAUCGAAUCCGAUUGGGCGCCGACCAUGGAAUUCACCGCCGCGGAUAUCUUUCAGCACUCGCCCUUCGGCGACAUUCUGAAUUCACUAAGGUCUCUCUCUUUGUCAGGAGAGCCCUGGCCGGAUUAUGGCCAACAGGAUUGGGAUGCGGACGACGAAGGAAUUUGACGCCCACCCACCACCCACUUAAUAGCCACUGUCGACGACUCAACCGACAUGCUCGACUUCGACUCCGAAGACAUCGACGGUAUGGAUGACGAUGCGGGAGGCGAAGAGGAACCACCGCCCACAGAGCGCUGGAUGACCACCUCAUCAUAUGACGUAUACAUGGUGGACACACCAAAAGAAGACGAUGACGAGGAACAGAAGGACGCACCGAAGGCUUGUUCCCUCGAGAAACAGUCAAAGCGGCGGCGCAAGCGCCGCCCCAAAUCCCGCCUCGGCAGAAAUAAAGAUCAUACAGACCCAGCGUUGGAGCAGGGCGAACCACUGCCGAACCACAGCAAUACGGAGAAUCAAACCGAACAAACCAAUUCUAUCAAAGGUAAUAGUCCGGAUGACAUAACGCCGGACAGGCACCCGGAGCAGCAGAAUGCCCGUCAAAGGCUUGUUGCCACCAUGAGGAGUCUGAAAAAGCAGAAGCAGAGGCUCAAGGCUGCGCAGGACACACUCCAAAUCAGAUGGAGCAAAGUACUCAACACAGUAGUGAAGUACGGCGGCAAUCGCCCAACCAAGAGCUACCCAAAGCGGAAGUUGCUACCUGAAUUCGAUGAGGAGGCCUCAGACCCCCCACAACCAAAAAUAAAAACGGCCAGCUGGCCGGAUAGACGACCUCACGGCCAACAUAGAGCGGCAAACAACGCCACCCACAAGCCAAUACGCGACCCACGCGAGGGCUCGCACCAAAAGGACAGUGCAACUAGAUCCAUCUAUGGACCAUGCAAGCGUGCCCCAGCAUAUGAUGUAACACAACAAACAUCCAAACAACACGGUACACCCAGAUACAGGGGUGCCGCACACCCCCUAUGUUUCACCGACGAGGUGCUGGACCAUGAAUUUCCAAAGGGAUUCAAACCCGUAAACAUAGAGGCAUACGACGGAACAACAGACCCUGGGGUCUGGAUUGAGGACUAUAUCCUCCAUAUCCAUAUGGCUCAAGGAGAAGAUCUCCACGCCAUCAAGUACUUACCCCUCAAGCUCAAAGGGCCAGCUCGUCACUAGCUUAAAAGCCUCCCCGAAAACUCCAUUGGAAGCUGGGAAGAGCUCGAAGAUGCUUUUCAGACAAAUUUUCAAGGGACUUAUGUCCGACCUCCGGACGCGGACGAUUUGAGUCAUAUAACUCAACAGCCCGGAGAGUCAGGACGAAAACUUUGGUACAUGUUUCUUACUAAAAAGAACCAGAUUGUCGACUGUCCGGAAGCCGAAGCAUUGGCAGCUUUUAAGCAUAGUGUCCAUGACGAAUGGCUUGCCAGACACCUCGGCCAAGAAAAGCCGAGAACAAAGGCAGCAUUAACAAGCCUCAUGACCCGCUUUUGCGCGGGUGAGGACAGCUGGGUAGCCAGAUGCAACACCAGCGACCCCAGUACAUCUGAAGUUAGAGAUGGAAACGGGAAAUCAUGGUGCAACAGCAAUAACAAACGCCGGAAUAAAGAAGACAACACGAAGAGCAUGAAAGUAAACGCCGGAUUCAAAAGCUCUCGGCCAGGUCAGCAAAAGCCGCCCUCUAAAGGCGCCAGAGAUGAACUGUCCAGCCUAAACAAAAUUCUGGACCAAAUAUGUUAGAUCCAUAGCACCCCUGGUAAACCCACUAAUCAUACUCACAGAUAAUGUUGGGUCUUUAAGCAGUCCGGCAAGCUCAACGCCGUACACAAGGGGGAGGAUGCACCAAGUGAAGACGAGGAUGAGCCUCUCAAGCAAGACACUGAGGAACAAAAGAAAUUUCCACCAGAAGUCAAAACAGUAAACGUGUUACACGUGAUCAAGGGGAGAAACAAAACGGCACUCCCAGGAAAAUAUGCCCAAGGGCCUAUCACCGCAGAGCCCUGCCACUAGUCGUCUCAACCAAUCACUUUCGACCAUCAUGAUUACUCAGCAAGUAUCCGGCGUGUAGGAUGGGCUGCCCUGGUAUUAGACCCAAUAAUCGACGGAUACCACUUCACACGAGUCCUGAUGGACGGUGGCAGCAGUCUCAACCUGAUAUACCAGGAUAAAAUCUGUGAAAUGGGGAUAGACCCAACGAAAAUUUGCCAUAGCAAUACUACCUUUAUAGGGGUAACGCCAGGCCUAGGGGCUCAUUGCACGAGCUCCCUGCUACUAAAGGUUAUAUUCGGCUUCCUUGAUAACUUCCGUAGCGAACAUUUAACCUUCCACAUCGCUCCGUUCCAAAGCGGCUAUCAAGCACUACUUGGACGCGAAGCUUUUACUCGCUUUAAUGCAAUACCACAUUACGCUUCCCUGACGCUCAAGAUGCCCAGUCCACGCGGCAUCAUUAUAGUGAACGGAAGUAUUAAGCGAUCUUUGCACGCCGAAGAGAAUGCGACUGCCUUGGCAGCUCCUCACCAACUAAAGCAUUUGAUAGGUCGUCAAGGCCACAGACGCGGUUAGACGAGUCCGGCACUGCUAUAUGUAAUUUGUGCCGGAUGGAUGGCCACACCCCUAUUACAAAUACAAGGGGCUCAACACGCACCGAGAAAUGAUCAUCGUGCUACACCCGUCCAGGAUACGGCACAACGGAAACACAAGUGCAGAUGUGCAGCAGGGACCCGUUCCAAGGAUUCGUUUUAGAUUAAGACCCUGUGUAAACCUUCUUUACUGUCUCUUGUUGAUACACAUCCACCGAAUUCUCAGCACAAUUGGGAAGGAUGCUGAUGUCUUGGCAUGUCGCCGUGUCAGAAUAAUGCACGUACCUAGACACAAGGGGCUUCUUACAAAGGGCACUAUUUAGGCCCGGUUUAUACAAUAAAGACUGAAUACCUUAGGGAGUGUUCGGCGUCGCGAGUUUGGCCUUAUAUGCAUCACCUCCGAAUCAUUGUCUUUGGUCAAAUGUUGGGUUUGCCCGGCUCCUGUGUUCUGGUGCCUUACGAUCCGCUUUAUCGGCUAAGGCAGCACCAGGAGAACUACUGCGAUUGUGCCCUGGUUCAUCCGGACGAGCACCUCAGUAGAGAAAGCCGAAAACUGACUUUCAUGAUAUAGCGUGAGACUAGUCAACCACUCGAUGACCUAUCGGAAUGUUAGAAUUCCUCCUCCUUAACAAAGGGCCGUUUUCCUGCCAGGCAUGUACGCACCCCGAGCUCGGGAGAGUGCGGAGCCACCAGGGGCUAUCUAGUAGCCCCACUGUCAAACUCCUAUGGCUAAGUGAAAGUGCUAAAGCAUUAUAGUCCGGUUGCCUCGCUCGCUCCGCUAUCACCUCCUUAAUAGGACCAAGACGUUGGGUUAAGUGUGAACACGAGUUUUUUGCGAGCACCUCCGCAUUAUAUGCGUGGGGGUUGAAGCCGACGACUGCAAUCUUUCAGGUUAUAUACAUAUAUACACAAACGGCCACACAUGAGCAUCACAUUACUUUCCGGCAAAAGUAUAAAUACAGCCUUACUAUAUUUCAUAAAAACAUUGUGUUUACAAUGGGAAUACAUGUCAUUCAAACAUAAUAUUCUUCGAGCACUGGGACUCCAUCAAACGAGCACCCUCAAGAACCUCUUCAAAAUAGUGCUCGGCAGCUACUCGGCCUAUGGCCGAACCUUGCGCCACAAUAGUGGUAGCAUCCAUCUCCGCCUAGUAUGCCUUGACACUGGCAAAGGCCAUCCGCAAGCCUUCUAUGGACGCCAACCUCUUCAUCGUGUUGAUACGCGGCACCGCACCAAGGAACUAUUCCACUAAGCUGAAAUAGUUGUUUGGCUUCGGCUUCUCCGGCCACAAAUGAUCUACAACAGACCUCAUGGCGAGUUUGGACAACCUAUUAAGUUCGGCCCAUUCGGCUAGCUGAUCAGUCAAGGGAAGCGGACGCUCUGGAACGUUGAAUUGCGACCAGAAUAGCUUGUCCACUUCACGGUCUGAUUGAUCUUGGAAGUAUUCGACCGCAUCGACAGUGCUCGCCGCCAAGUCCAUAUAUGCGUCUGCUGAACUCCACAGCCGAUCCAGAGGGGCAUACCGAGGAUCUCCGAACUUCCUCCACAGCAGAAAGGGCUUCCCAGCCGCAAUAUCCCCGGCUUCGCGCAGCUCCUCCUUCUUCGCCCUCAUAGCAGAGCGGCUGUCUUUGGUCACCAUAGUGGCCUUUUCAAGGUCCGCUCCCUUCACUCGGUUUUCUUCUUCAAGGAACUGGAAACGGUCGGCAGUGCCUUUUAAUUCUACGGCCAUCUUGGCCAUCUUUUUUUUGCUUUCGCAAUGGGCGGCCUUCUCGGCUCUUAACUCUUAGGCCGCCUUCAAAGUAGCCGCAUUACUAACCCUCGCUUGUUCCUUGGCUCGGGCGAGUUCCGCCCGAAGGGUCUCCACGGUGGCAGCUUCGUCUGCAGUCACAACAUAUUAAAGAUACUGACAUCAUGCUGCUCUUAUUGUGUGACAUUCACCAGAAAACAUUACUUACCCUGUGAUUCAUCAAGCCGCUUGUUAACAAGCUCGAUGUUGGUGUCUGCCACAUCCAGUUGCCGUUUUAAUUCGGCAAACUCACUAGUCCGGCUAGCCACCGGAGCUUCCACCAACUGCACAUAAAGGCAGUCUGGUUAUUGCCUGGGACUAUGAUCCUCUGUUCGCCGCUGUUCUCGACGACAACCAGAGUCUCAGGGGCUACUAUCUACACAGGGCACACCUAACAUGUGCGGUACUAUCACAUAUUAUUUCACGUACCUCAAAGCCUGUCAGUAGACUCAUAAAGGCUUCAUGUAAUACGCUUUCGGCGGACGAAAUUCUUUCCAUCACCAUACCCAUCAGCGUACGGUGUUCUUCUGAGAUGGCUGCUCGCCCCAACAGCUCCCUUAGAACGUCCGACCGCAUACCUGAUGGUGCCGGACUCUUUUGUUUGCUCUCUUCGAGAGCCGGACGCUAGGGACUUCGAGGAUCUAUGGGAUUAUCUUCUGGCCUCACCGGGUCCGGAGAGGCCCUCCGUGACGACACUUCGGGGUCGCCCGCUUCUUGAGCGGAGGAGUCCGGGGGAGGCGUUUCGCUCUCCAUCAUCUCCGGAAGAAGAUCCCCCGAAGACGAGCUCAACUGAGAAGGGCUAUGACCCGAACUACAAGAUAUAUGCGGCGGUUAUUUUCUCAGAAGAAAGAUAGUAUACCUCCACUAUUAAAGUAUUUUUUUGGAUCACUUAUGACUCGUUGGAGGGCUGAUCCUCCCGCGGACUUUGUGCGGCAAGAGCACCCCCCGAGGCAGGACCCUCUGUUGGAGACUUCUUCUCUCGUUUGGAGGCCCCGGCUUUCGGAUCCUCGGAAGCAGUCCUCUUCCUCCCCCGGUUAUCCUCCUUUAAGGAGGCGUUCAUUCCCUUGGUUGAAACUGGCAGCGAUGGGGGCCCGCUUCCACCCAUGUUAUUCUCCCCUGUAUCUUCCUUCGAGGGCUCCGGGCAAGGUGCGAGCUCGAGCAUCUUUUCCAAUACCGGAUUUUCCAAACCCUCAGGGAGGGGGGCCGAACACCGAAUCAUCUUCGCCUUUGUUAGCCAGUCCUGGUCAAAGAGCGAUCUCUUAGAAAUAACUUCAUGAUGAAUAAAAGGCGGUGUGUUCAGCUAGAGGAUUUCUUACUUGUUCGGCGGUGCGGUUACUGCUCAGGCCCACAUCCUCAGUUGUAUCCGGACACUCUAUUUGAGGUCCGAAGAAUGACUUGUAAAUAUCCUCGUGCGUCAGGCCGAGGAAACUUUGAAUGGCACGCGGUCCUUCUGGGUUGAACUCCCACAAGCGAAGGGGCCGGCGUUUGCAAGGCUGGACUUGACGAACCAACAUAACUUGUAUUACCACUACCAAAUCAAAAUCUCCCUCGAAGAGAUCUCGAAUGCGGCUUUGCAGUAUCGACACGUCCUUGGCUGGUCCCUAGCUCAGACCUCUGCUAAUCCAUGACUAGUCGUGGUGGGGGGCCUGAGCGGUAAGCGAGGGCAGCCGCCCACUUGGCACUUCUGGGAGCUGUGACGUAAAACCACUCCUGGUACCAUAAUUCGGACACCUCUGGAAAGGAACCUUUCGGCCAUGGAGCUCCUGCCAUCUUGCCUAUUGAUGCACCUCCGCACGCUGCAUGUUGCCCCUCGAUCAUCUUCAGCUUCACUUCAAAGGUCUUGACCCACAGGCCGAAGUGAGGGGUAAUGCGGAGGAAGGCCUCACACACGACAAUAAAUGUCGAGAUGUGGAGAAAGGAGUCCGGAUCUAGAUCAUGGAAAUCUAGCCUGUAAUAGAACAUCAAACCCCUGAUUAAGGGAUCCAGAGUGAGGCCUAGGCCUCGGAGGAAGUGGGAGACAAACACGACGUUCUCGUUAGGUUCGGGAGUAGGGACGACCUGCCCUCGAGCAGGAAGCCGAUGCGAAACCUCGGCGGUCAGGUAUCUGGCCUCCCUCAACUUCUUGAUGUCCUCUUCCGUCACGGAGGAGGCAUUCAUCGGCCUUGAAGGCUGGAUCCGGACAUGAUUGAAGAUCCGGAGCACCUAACCUGGGCUUUGGGUGUUGGAACUCGAGGCGGGGGAAGGGUUCGAUUGAGCACGGGAGGAAGAAAGCGAAAACCUUGUCCCUUUAUAAAGAGGGUGAAUAUCAAGCGUCACUACAAGAAAUAUGUCAACUUAUGACCUUCUGUCAGUGACCCUCGAAGAAUUGGUCAUAAAUUUAUGACCAUUUUAGACCAAUUGGUCAAAACCUGUUCAGGGGGCUCCAAACCCUAAACCAUUGCGACCAUUUUGGUUAGAAAGGUCAUAAUUUCCUUACAUGAAAUGGUCACAAAGCAAACAGUGCUAGUCCGCUGCCUUAUUUCUAGUUGUUAAUGACCAAUAUAGAUGGUCAUAGCCUUGUAGAUUGUGGUGGGUUGUGAUGACUAGGCGCCAUCUCAUCAGUUUUGCCUAUGUGUCAUGUCCAUGUGGCAGUUUUUGCCCUAGGUUGUGAAGCAACCUAUAUUUCUAUCAUUCCCAAAAUUGCCAAAAAAAUCUCAUAAAUUCUUUGGGGCAUAUCUUCAUCAAAUAUGUAAAAAUCCUUCCUUGCCUAGUUCAAAACUAAUUCAACAAUAUUCAUUUUCCUAUUCUGUUCACAACAACACUUUAUGAAGGAAGUGCUAUUUAUAUAUUCUUGAUUGCCCUCGGAAUUUUUGGGCACUCUUUCCUAUCCAAAUCAUUACCGCAUGACAAAAUUCAGCUCCAUUUGCCUAGCAAAUCUUCCUCGGCAAAUUUCCAAAGUUUUUGUCCACCUAGAAGCAUUGUGAAGGAAGUAUCGUUUUUAUAUCUCUAAAUGACAUGAAAUUUAUACAGUUCCUUCAUAUGCCCAAAUUAUCACCCUCCUCCAAAUUGCAGCUCAGUCAAAUCAUCUAUGUGAGCCCAGGUUCAAUUUAUAUUUUAUGGCCAAAUUGGCAAGUUGCAAAGCAAGUGUUAUAUAGACCCCUCCUAUACCCUCAAACUUUUCGGGCACUCUUCCAUACCCAAAUUAUUGCCACAUGAUAAUAUUCAGCUCAAUUUUCCUAGUAAAUCUUUCUCAGGAAAUUUCCAAAGUUUCUACCUCGAGAGAAGCUUUGUGAAGUAAUUACUAGCUAGGCUUACCCAAAUGAUCUGAAAAUUUACCAGCGCAUGACCAUACCUAUGUAACUUACCUACGCAAAUUUUUAGCUCAUUUCAUUCAUCCAACCUCUCUUACUAGUUUUCCCAAGUUUUUGUCCAUAGAAGAGCAUUGUGAAGGAAGUACUACUUUGGCAUGUCAAAAUGAUAUGAAUUUUCUACAAUGCUUUCCUAUGCCCAAAUAACCAUCCUCCACCAAAUUUCAGCUCAAUCCAUUCAUUAUUUUGAGCCGAGCUUCAACAUUCGUAUUUAUGUCCAAUGUGGUACUUUGCAAAGCAAGUACCACCUAGGGUCCUCCUUUUGAGCUGAAAAUUUGUGAAUACAUUCUCCUUAGUAGAUGAUCAUCCUCGGCCAAAACUCACGCCCAUUGGCCAUGUGCAUUUCCCAUACCGCUAAUCAAAGACUUGGCUGCUUAUUCAUGUUUGAGCAUCGAUCGGUCUCCUCGUGAGAAUAUUAUGUUGUGAUUUUCUUCCUAACACCUACCUGGGGAGUGCCCAACCCACUAGACAUGCCUAGGCCGCCUAGAACACAUGGCAACGCCAUGGCCACGUGGUGACCACGCGGCGGGCAUGCGAGUUUACGCGCUCUAGAGUUGGGGCCCUCGGCCACCGCCCAAACCUCGACGUAUCGCCACCAAACCAUGUAUUUAUGAUUAAAUAGGUACUUAUGUAACUAGAAAUGAUUUUUGGACAAAAUAAAUAGCAAACUAUGAGGCAACUGCAGUUCAAAUUUGACCCGCUUCCUGCUGAAUCAACGGGAAUUUGUCUUUUUCACCAGAGGUGGAUCAAAAAUUUUGACACCCAACCAUUUUGUCAAUUGUGCAUUAAAUAUGGCCUAGUAUUUUAUAAAAUUGAUUAGGUCCAAUUUUGCAACAAAUAUAUGGUAGGUCCUUCACAAAAAAACUCAUUUCAGGCACUCGGAAAAUGGAAAAUGGUUUUUUCGUCCAAAGAAAAUGAAAACUUCCUUAGGCAACAUUGUUUGCCAUUUCAAUAUGCACCCUUGUGCACAAUAGGAGAUCAUUUGAACAAACUAUGCCAUGAAUGUGGGCAUAGGAUUGAUCAUUUGGCUUGAAAGCCAUGAAUCUUCACGCAUGAUAGCUCAUUUCUGAUAACACUUUUUUAAAAGAAUUGCCGUAUUACAAGUUUAUUAUUUUUCAUGGUAACUUGGUCAUAUAUAAUGACACAAUGCGAAGGAUUUCCAAUUUUUUGAUUUUUUUGAAUUUGUUAUGCCCGUUUCAAUAUGCGGUCAAAACGGUGGGAAUGACCGUUCCUAGCUAGUGGUUGAAUCUUGGAAUUUUUUUGGUGUUUCUAUGAUUAAAUAUAUACUUAUGUACCUAGAAAUGAGUUUUGGAAAAAAUAAAGAGCAAACUACAAGGCAGCUACAGUUCAAAUUUGACCCACUUCCAACUAAAUCGGCGGAAGUUUGUCUUUUUCACCAGAGGUGGAUCAAAACUUUUGACACCCAACCAUUUGGUCAAUUGUGCAUUAAAUAUGUCCUAGUAUUUUAUAAAAUUGAUUUGGUCCUAUUUUGCAACAAUUAUUUGGGAGGUCCUUCACAAAAAACCCUCCUUUUGGGCACUCGAAAAAUGAAAAAUGGUUUUUUCGUCCAAAGAAAAUGAAAACUUCCUUAGGCAACAUUGUUUGCCAUUCCAAUAUGCACCCUUGUGCACAAUAUGAGAUAAUUUGAACAAACUAUGCCAUGAAUGUGGGCAUAGGAUUGAUCAUUUGGCUUGAAAGCCAUGAAUCUUCACGCAUGAUAGCUCAUUUCUGAUAACACUUUUUUAAAAGAAUUGCCGUAUUACAAGUUUAUUAUUUUUCCUGGUAACUUGGUCAUAUAUAAUGACACAAUGCGACGGUUUUCCAAUUUUUUGAUUUUUUUUGAAUUUGUUAUGCCCGUUUCAAAAUACGGUCAAAACGGCGGGAAUGACCGUUCCUAGCUAGUGGUUGAAUCUUGGAAUUUUUUUGGUGUUUCUCUGACUAAAUAUAUACUUAUGUACCUAGAAAUGAGUUUUGGAAAAAAUAAAGAGCAAACUACAAGGCAGCUACAGUUCAAAUUUGACCCACUUCCAACUGAAUCGGCGGAAGUUUGUCUUUUUCACCAGAGGUGGAUAGAAACUUUUGACACCCAACCAUUUGGUCAAUUGUGCAUUAAAUAUGUCCUAGUAUUUUAUAAAAUUGAUUUGGUCCAAUUUUGCAACAAUUAUUUGGGAGGUCCUUCACAAAAAACCCUCCUUUUGGGCACUCGAAAAAUGAAAAAUGGUUUUUCGUCCAAAGAAAAUGAAAACUUCCUUAGGCAACAUUGUUUGGCAUUCCAAUAUGCACCCUUGUGCACAAUAUGAGAUAAUUUGAACAAACUAUGCCAUGAAUGUGGGCAUAGGAUUGAUCAUUUGGCUUGAAAGCCAUGAAUCUUCACGCAUGAUAGCUCAUUUCUGAUAACACUUUUUUAAAAGAAUUGCCGUAUUACAAGUUUAUUAUUUUUCCUGGUAACUUGGUCAUAUAUAAUGACACAAUGCGAAGGUUUUCCAUUUUUUGAUUUUUUUUGAAUUUGUUAUGCCCGUUUCAAAAUGCGGUCAAAACGGCGGGAAUGACCGUUCCUAGCUAGUGGUUGAAUCUUGGAUUUUUUUGGUGUUUCUCUGAUUAAAUAUAUACUUAUGUACCUAGAAAUGAUUUUUAGAAAAAAUAAAGAGCAAACUAGAAGGCAGCUACAGUUCAAAUUUGACCCACUUCUAGCUGAAUCGGCGGAAGUUUGUCUUUUUCACCAGAGGUGGAUCAAAACUUUUGACACCCAACCAUUUGGUCAAUUGUGCAUUAAAUAUGUCCUAGUAUUUUAUAAAAUUGAUUUGGUCCAAUUUUGCAACAAUUAUUUGGGAGGUCCUUCACAAAAAACCCUCCUUUUGGGCACUCAAAAAAUGAAAAAUGGUUUUUUCGUCCAAAGAAAAUGAAAACUUCCUUAGGCAACAUUGUUUGCCAUUCCAAUAUGCACCCUUGUGCACAAUAGGAGAUCACUUUUUGAAUUUUUCAUGUGAAAAAGUAGAAAAAAAGAAUGCUCAGGGAUUCUUUUUUGAAACAUAAAUUGUCUUUUUGAUGAGAGGUGAAUCAAAAGCAUUUUACAUUUUAAGAUUUGGUCAAUUGUACAUAAAAUGUUGUCUUAUAGUUUUGGAAAAUGGUGUGGUGCCAUUUUGAAAUAAAUAUUUGGUAGAUUCUUCACAAAAAAGAAUUUUGUCACUCCGAAAAUAGAAAAUGAUUUUCCCCUAAAAACUUAUUUCUCAUAACACUUUUUAAAGAUAUUUGUCUUAUUCCAAUUCCAAGUUUGUUAGUUUUCCUAAAAAACUAGGUCACAUUUGCUGACACAAUGAGAAUGUUUUUAUUUUUUUUGAAUUCUCAUAUCAUAAAACUGUUUAUAUGAUUCAACAUUUUAUUUUUAAUUGAUUAAGACCAAUUUAGAUGGUCAUAACGUGUACUGGGCUCUGAUUGGUCCAUGAGCAUGUCACGCGGAUCGUGCCUUCAGCGCCGUCGGAUGCUCCUCUCCAGAUCCAGAUCCGACGGCAGCCCUUUCUCCCUCACACCCCUCUUUGUUUGAAAAAAGGAAACUCCCUCCCGCACGCGAACCCUAGCGUCGUCUCCCAAACCCUCUCCCGAUCCAGAUCCGCCACCCCUCUCCCUCUCCCCUCGCCGCCUUGCCUCCCCUCUCCCUCUCCCCUCGUCGCCUCGCCUCCCCUCACCGCCGCACCACCCAUCGCCUCCUGCACCCCCUCCCCUCCCCUCCCGUGUCCCCAUCCCGUCGAAACCCUAAGCGGAGGCAGCCGCCAUGGUGAAGGGACGCACGGGGCAGCGCGUCAGGCUCUACGUCCGUUCAAAUUAUCCCAUCGCGCCGCCGCCUCCCAGGCACCUCCUCCCUUCCACCGCCCAGGCACCUCCUCCCUUCCGCCGCCCAGGCACUUUCUCCCUUCCGCCGGCCCUUAUCGACCACGGCCCGCGUCAGUCUCGCCGGAGAGAGAGGAGAUGCCGCCCAGCAACCACGGAGUCGCGGCUGGCUUGCUCGCCGGCGCACGGGUGCAUGGCGCUUCGUCGAGCUGGCUGGACCGCGGCGCGCGCGUGGCCUGCAUAGGGUUUGCAGUGGCGGCGCUACACGCCGGCCGCAGGUCUUCGGCUACCAGGAAGGCGCCGCCGCUGAUUCGAGUCGAUCCUCAAGGUAUCCCUUCCCUUCCCCUUCUCUCUUCGUUUCGACCCGAUCUGGCAGCCGUGGAUGAACACUGAUCUGGGGUUUGCUCCUCUGCUCAUAGGGUGACCAAGAGGUCCUGCCGAGCUCAAGCUCGUCCACGACGACCCACCACGGCAGGUAGCAUCUCCCUCCCCCUCUCAUCUUCCUCUGCUCGCACUUGACCAUGGCCCGGCUAGCAUAUGCUUGUUUUAGUUAGAUUUUCUCCGGUUCAUUGCAUCCAAGGCAGAGUAAACGUGUACCGUCUUGGCAAAGGCAGAGUUCUCCGGUUCUCUGUUAUUUUCAGGCUCAUGUUUCAGUUCAGCGGCUACGUGCAAGAGAGUGGAUUAUUUGGUUGCUGUAAUGAAACUGUUAAUUAAUCCCAAAAACAGUUUAUUGAAACUUCUGCUACUCUGGUUCAGUUAAGACUUGGUAGUUUGUCUGAACUGUUGUGUUUGAUAUAAGUAGAAGUAGUUGAAUGCUAUACAGUGGUCUGAAGCUAAUUAGUUGAUUUGAAAAUUAUAGGUUUUGAACUGUCCAUGAUUUGGUUGAAUCUAGUCUUCAAUUUAAUCUAUACAUGCCGUACGAAACUUCAGAACUUGAAAACCCAAAUCUGGUUCAGUCAUCGUAGUUUAGCUUUACAGAUAAGACACUGAUUUCUAAUUGAUUUAGCUAGCCUAUUGUAUUAAUUGUUGUGAGUAAGAUGUGAACAAAAUUCAGGAUGUAUCUCACAUCACUACAUGAAAUACAUUGUUUUCAGGUUUUGUACAUCAGCUGCAUUCUUUAAUUAUCUAGUUGGUGGUUACUAUUUUGUGGAUGGCAAUGCUUGUGUUGUAAGUAGAAGUUAAAUGGAAAUAAUGUUCAGGUUUCUUCAAAGAAACACUGAAUAAAACAGUAGCCAAUAGGUGUGUACAAAACGUGGUCUGAAGCUUGUUGGUAGAAAAUCAUUACAUAAGGCACAUAUUCACACUAAACCUUGACACAGCAAUUAUUGGUUUCAUACUACUGUCCUUGAUACAUAUAGUAUUAAUAAUCUUUGACAUUUUGUACUACUUCCUCCUGCUAGGGUUUCGGUGGACCUCUUUGUUGCGCACGGCUGAGCCGAACGUCCUCGGCGGUGGUGGCAGCGCGUGUGAGAUCCUCCUCCAUGACAAGGCCGCCGCCGGAUCAGCUCCUCUCCGCCGGUGGACCCUCGCCUCUCCGACAAGGCCACCACCGGAUCCCCUCCUAUCCAACAGCAACGCCUCCGGAUCCACUCGUCCUCGACAACGAUGGCACCGAGGAGCACCAGGAGCUUCAGAUCCGGUAACUUAUUAUCUCCCUCUCUCCCUCCCGCAGUACCUACUAUGUAUCAUGCUUAUUGUUUACUGCAUUGAGGCAUGUGGGCACCAGAAUUUGUAAUCAGAUGUUUACCGCUUAUGAAUAUGGCGAUGUUCAUGACUAAUGGAUGUGGCUGGGGGUUGAGGUAUACAGUGCUAUAGAAUGCCAUCUAGGAUAUCUGUUAAGCCACUUGGUCAGUUAGUUUCUUUUAGUACAUAUACCAUGAAUCCAAGUUUGAUGUGUAAUGCCAUGUCUCUCUAUAUUUAUAAGUUGAAUCCAUCACUAACAUGUGAACAACACUUGCACUGCCUUAUGUAUUUACACAUAAGGAGUUAAACUACAUGUCUGCUAUUGCAGGGCAGAUUAGAUGUAUAUCAUUAGUUUCUUUGUUGAUUUACUGAUAAGUUACCAUCCGAUCCACUGACAACAUGUUUGUGUUAUUGUGGUGCUGGUUUGACUCACUGUCAUCUUACAAUUUGUUCUUUUUGUAUGCAGCUCACCAGAAGAAGGCUGUGAAGAUCUUCCCCCGCCCUACCUCUGGACCUCUUCGCCCCAUCGUGCAAUGCCAGACCCGCAAGUACAACAUGAAGGCCAGGGCUGGCAGGGGCCUACUGCUGCUCCUGGGUAGAGUCCAGCCAUGCUACUGCUAGGUAUGAUUCCCACCUCCUUCGAACCCCCUUGUACUGCAGGCCUUCAUGUGCAUGUGUGGAGUCCUAUUUUUAUGUUGAGGAACGCAGGCUGCUCUUACCAGGGCAAACACACGCGCCUUCAUGUCUUAUUUGCGAUAUAUAAAUCAUCUGGAACAAAUCAUUUUCGUGAAUUUGGUCGAGUUCCUUGUAUACUGUAUAUUUUGACAGCAUAUGUCCUCACAAAAGAGAAAGGAAAAAACAAUAUUGCAUAAAUCUCUGCAUUUUAGUUCCAUACUUUUGAGCUCAGCAAGCUAAACUUGUUUCAAACAUUUAGAUGGCUCACAUCAGAUAACCAGUAACUUGAGCAUUACAUGCAUUGAUGCAUAAGCUGCUGGAGGAAUGUCUUCAGCUAACCACAGAGAACUGGUGCUGUGCACAGCUUCCUUUGUAGAAAAGAUCAAUAGUUGUGUAGACUUGUGCAAAGACUAAAUUUUUGUACUAAGGUGGCCAGCGUGGUGUCGCGACAUGAUCACUGACGGAAUUAAUUAUGAUUUUGUUAUUCGGCUUUGUUUGUCUGAUCCUCACAAGUUAAUGCUUCGCUCGUCCGGGUGUGUGAUAAUGCCAUGUGUCUUGUGCAAUUAGAUUACAUUUCUGUUUGUUAUGGUAAUAUAAAAAAUAUUCAUGCUGUCAAAAUUUUCACAGUGCGUGCCUUUCAUUUCUUUAGUUUGAUUGUUUCCCUUGUAUUCAAUAUGCUUCUAGUGGCUGAUCCUUCCAUUUUUGUUAUGGCAUCUUUAUUUUCACAGGUGUUGUGUGUUCUGGAAGAUGGAAGAGGAAGAAAACCUAUUUUUGUUGAACUAAAUUUUCUGUAUUCUGUUUUGUUGUACGUAUCAUUUGAUAGUUUUGUAUAGGAACAAGUGAUACUAUUUUGUAGGGCUUUAUGGCCUGUGAUGUAAACAUAUUUAGUGCUGAAAUAUGAAAUUAUUUGCAAAAUUUGUCAAAAAGGUGGAUCAUAUGUAUGAAUAUGUGAAUGGGCUGAAAAGAGUACUGGACCAACUCCAGGAUUGAAUUAAUAUUUGAAUGUAUAAAAAGGCUGAAUGUAAACCAGAAAUGGGCUGCACAAAAUUGUACAUAUAUUCUUGAAAGGCC